AUGUCGAUGUCGGCGCUUGUGUCAUCCCUCCGCGCUGCCGGCCGACACCACCUCUCCGCCGGCACCUUCAUCGUGAGGCCGGUGACGGGCUCCUACCUGUAUAGGAUCGAGCAGUUCAAGCAAAUCAAGAAGAUGCUUGGAAACGGCGCGAAGAUCGAAUCAGACACGUUCCGAGUCGGUGGCCACGACUGGCGUAUCAGGUGCUACCCGAACGGCAAAGAGGGAUACGAGGGCUUCAUCAGCCUAUACCUCGAGCACGCCAGCCUUGACCGCACCGGUGACGCCACAGCGGAUUUCCGCAUGAGCAUCCUUGACCACACCGGGAAGCCAUUGUGGACCGAAGGUCAUGCCCAAUUGUCGGAAGAAAUCGAUGAUGAGAGCGAAGGUGAUGCUCAAACCUUCUCGAUCGGCAAACGUACCAGGUGGGGCUGGAGUGAUUUCAUGAAGGUUGAUGACCUGGACGACAAGGAGCACCUCAAGGACGGAUCUCUGAUAAUCGUUUGUGACAUCACCGUCCUUGACAUGCGCUCCAUCGAGUACCGUGACGGGAUGGCAUCCACGACUACAAUGGAGGUCCCCUCAGAGUCCAAAGAGGAGGCUGACCCUGACAUGGAGAUAGAGGUCGGCGGGGUGACCUUCCCGGCGAACAGGUCGAUGCUCACUGCCCGGUCUCCUGUCUUCAAGGAGGAAUUGGUGCCAACAAAGAUACACAUCGACGGAAUUGACGCCGACGUGUUCAAGGCCCUGCUCCACUUCAUCUACACGGACAGGCUGCCGCAAGAGAUGGAGGAGCAAGAGACGCUUGCCAAGAUAGUGAAGCCGCUGCUCGUGGCGGCGGACAGGUACAAGCUGGAGAAGAUGAAGCAGGUCUGCGAGGAGGCGUUGUGCGGGCAAAUUAGUAUGGAAUCCGUGACCGCCACACUGGCGUUCGCGGAGCAGCAUUGUUGCAGCAUGCUGAAGGAGGCUUGCACGCAAUUUCUCGCUGACUUCUCAUUCUAA
rnacentral:rRNA from 1 species